rfam:Candidatus Phytoplasma australiense complete genome
CGGGAAGUAGCUUAGCUUGGCAUAGCGCCUGGUUUGGGACCAGGAGGUCGCGGGUUCAAAUCCUGCCUUCCCGA